UUUUGUAGACAAAUUAAAGGGUCCAAGAAAUGUAAAUGUAUAAUUAGCAGUAAUAGCUUAGCUUUCAUCAUUCCUGUAAAAGUUGCUUCAUCUUCAGUAGGUGCUGGUACAUUAACAGUAUUGGCAUUAUCAGCCAUCAAGGUUUGCAAUCUUGAAUUGGAACAUUUUCUUGACAGAGAAAUAUAUACAGAGCACUCACAGAAAAAAAAACACCUGCUUGCCUGAAACUGACCCUCACCCAUGGUUUACUCUGAGCAAAAUUAGUCACUGGGACAAGUUCUGCAGUCAAGAGAUGGAGAACAAGAGGGCGUGUGACUUUUAUUUCAGAUUCAUUUUUAAAGAAUAUGGUGAGCCUUCCCACUACAGAUGGCCUCAGGAUGCAGGGCAUGAAGCUAAAACAGUCUCCUCCAUCUGCUUUCCCAAUCUUGGUGUGGAAACAGGCUGCUGGACCUUCCCCUCUCUAACACAGACCAAUUAUCCCUGGGUAUUUGCAUUUGGCCACAAGGAGACAUCUGCCGUGCUGGGUGUUUUGAGCAGCAGCUCCCAUAGUUUCAGCUAUUUCAGCUCACGUGGGAGCCUCUCAGCUUCUGCAACACUCCCAAACAAAGAGCAUCUCUCACAUCCACCAGCUGAACAGGGCUUUACCCACCCCCUGGCAAAACAAUAUCUUUGCUUUGCAGCUCAUUUUUACUGCCCUCCUGAUAACGAAUGUAAACCUUAGUUGUGUGUAU